UUUUUUAUUUGUUUGCCUAUAAGGAGUGUGUGCGCGGAGUUGACUCUGGUUAGGCUUAAAGUAAAGAAACAAUUCCAUCCUUCGCCGUCCGACGGUUUUUGAUUUGGGAUAAAAUCACAUCUGAAUUGGGGCAAAACCGGAGCUCUAUCUGUGCUAUAAUCUCUCUAUACGCAGGAUUGCUUCUCACCGACAGGCCAUGGUGGUUGACUGUUAUCACCUUGAUAACGGGAGACUGACUUGAGAUGUUCAGUUCAGGAGGCACUUUCAGGACUGGGAGAUUGAGGAUGUUUCUCGUUUUUUGGAGCUUCUGUAUAGCCAGGUGAUCACUUUUGGGAAGUCGGAUUGUUGGUUCUGGGUUCCUAACUCGCAGGGUCAUUUCGAGGUUAGGUCCUUUUUCAGGUGCCUUUCGGUUGGUUCUGGAGAUCCUUUCCUCUGGAAAUCUAUUUGGCGUUCUAAGGCUUCCCUGAAGGUCACCUUCUUUGCUUGGACUUUUGUCCUGGGUAAGAUUUUAACCCAGGAUAAUUUGAGGUGGAGGAAUCAGGUGGUGGUCAAUCAUUGUUAUAUGUGCUUGUGUGAUGAGGAGACAGUUGAUCACCUUCUUUUACAUUGCAGCAUGGCCAGAGACUGUUGGGAUUUGAUGCUUGGAUUAUUUGGGAUCCAUUGGGUUAUGCCUUGUUCCUUUAGAGGGUUGAUUGAGGCUUGGAGAGGUGUCUCUGUUGGGGCUCUCAUUUAGGAUGCUUGGAGGGCUACACCUCUUUGUAUUUGGUGGUGUAUUUGGCUCGAGAGAAAUAUGAGAUAUUUUGAUGGAAAAAAGAAACUUAUUUUUAUGCUUAAGUUUUUUAUUAUUUUCACUCUUUUUUGUUGAAUCUCAGGGAGAGAUUAUAGAUCUACGGAGAAAAUUAUUGUUUUUUUGGCCUCUUUGAAGGUCUAAGGCGCCCUUUAGCCUUUGUGUUUCUUUGGGUUCUGCUCCCCUUUUGAACUUUUUCAAUAAAAUCUUACUUAUCAAAAAAAAAAAAAAAAAAAUACAAA